GUUGUAUUACUUCCAUCCCAAAUUACUUGAGUUAGAUUUGUCUAAAUAUGGCUGUAUUUAAACAUGUCUAUAUACAGCUGUAUUUAAACAAAUCAAAGACAAGUAAUUCGGAACGGAAGGGUUAUUUA
rfam:Triticum aestivum genome assembly, contig: Triticum_aestivum_CS42_TGACv1_scaffold_289002_4AL